rnacentral:rRNA from 1 species
AGCUCAAAUUUGAAAGCUGGCGUCUUCGGCGUCCGCGUUGUAAUCUCGAGACGUGUUUUCCGUGCGGCUCUAUGGACAAGUCCCUUGGAACAGGGCAUCGUAGAGGGUGAAAAUCCCGUACUUGCCAUGGAAGUACCGUGCUUUGUGAUACACGCUCCAAGAGUCGAGUAGUUUGGGAUUGCUGCUCAAAGUGGGUGGUAGACUCCAUCUAAAGCUAAAUAUCGGGGAGAGACCGAUAGCGAACAAGUACCGUGAG